rnacentral:rRNA from 1 species
CUACGGGACGCACCAGUGAGGAAUUUUGCGCAAUGGGGGAAACCCUGACGCCGCAACGCCGCGUGAGUGAAGAAGGCUUUCGGGUCGUAAAGCUCUGUCAGAUAGGAAAAAAGUUCAUAUGUAAAUAGCUUAUGAAUCUGAUGGUACUAUCAGAGGAAGCACCGGCUAACUCCGUGCCAGCAGCCGCGGUAAUACGGAGGGUGCAAGCGUUGUUCGGAAUUACUGGGCGUAAAGGGAGUGUAGGCGGUAUGGUAAGUCAGAUGUGAAAGCCCUGGGCUUAACUCAGGAAGUGCAUUUGAUACUGCCAUCCUUGAGUAUGGGAGAGGAGAGUAGAAUUCCCAGUGUAGAGGUGAAAUUCGUAGAUAUUGGGAGGAAUACCCGUGGCGAAGGCGACUCUCCGGACCAAUACUGACGCUGAGGCGCGCAAGCGUGGGGAGCAAACAGGAUUAGAUACCCCAGUAGUC